rnacentral:lncRNA from 1 species
ACAGUACUGUGCUGCUUUUUCAACCAUGGAGAGGUCACCCGUGUGAUGUGGACACAACCUCUCCGUGAAAGUUUUUCCUAUCCAUUCCUUGUACUUCAGAUGUAUAUUUUAACUUUGAUUCUCAGGGACUGUAUUAUUCCUAUUUCAAGACUAUUGUGGAAACACCCUCAUUUUUGAAUGGAGUAUGGAUGAUUAUGAAUGAUAAACUGACUGAAUACCCCCUUGUUAUUAAUACAUUAAAAAGAUUCAAUCUUUACCCUGAGGUAAUUUUGGCCAGCUGGUACUGGAUUUAUACCAAAAUAAUGGACUUCAUUGCAAUUCAAACCAAGAUAUGUCGGACGGUUACCAGAGGAGAAGGACUCAGUCCUACUGAAAGCUGUGAAGGAUUGGGAGAUCUUGCUUGCUUCUAUGUUGCUGUAAUUUUUAUUUUAAAUGGACUAAUGAUGGCAUUAUUCUUCAUAUAUGGCACAUAUUUAAGUGGCAGCCGAUUAGGAGGCCUGGUUACAGUGUUGUGCUUCUUUUUCAGUCAUGGAGAGUGUACCUGUGUAAUGUGGACACCACCUCUCCGCGAAAGCUUCUCAUAUCCAUUUCUUGUUCUUCAGAUGUUGCUUGUGACUCAUAUUCUCAGGGCUACAAAACUUUAUAGAGGAAGUUUGAUUGCACUCUGCAUUUCCAAUUUAUUUUUCAUGCUUCCUUGGCAGUUUGCUCAGUUUGUACUUCUUACUCAGAUUGCAUCAUUAUUUGCAGUGUAUGUUGUCGGGUACAUUGAUAUAUGUAAAUUAUGGAAGAUCAUUUAUAUACACAUGAUUUCUCUUGCACUUUGUUUUGUUGUGAUGUUUGGGAACUCAAUGUUAUUAUUAUGCUGCUUCUUUGGUAAUUAUUUGGGGUAUUCUGGCAAUGAAACCACAUUUCCUGAAAAUAAAUGUAUCUGAACUUAGUUUAUGGGUUAUUCAAGGAUGUUUUUGGUUAUUUGGAACUGUCAUACUUAAAUACUUGACAUCUAAAAUUUUUGGUAUUGCAGAUGACAUGGAGUUUCACUCUUGUUGCCCAGGCUGGAGUGCAAUGGUGUGAUCUUGGCUCACCGCAACCUUCCUCUCCCAGGUUCAAGCGAUUCUCCUGCCUCAGCCUCCCGAGUAGCUAGGAUUACAGUGACCGCCCACCCGCACCUGCUGAACAGCAAGGUCCACGGAGUAGGAACUGAACGUGUCAGGGACUAUGUGUGGCACUGUAUGGCAAGUCUCCAAGACUGGGAAGCACCGCUUUACAUAGUCCUCAUGGAUUCCAAAGCAUGAGUUGGGCUGCUUUUGAAUAGUGGGAGACGGGAGUUUACCCCGAUCACAGAAACCAUACCAACUGAAAGACAAAUCAGCAUCUUGCUGGACGACCCCUCACAGAGCUCCUAGAUCCUUGAAGUGUGAACUUCAGCAGCUGAGAGAGAUGGGGUCUCACUAUGUUGCCCAGGCUGGUCUUGAACUCCUGGACUCAAGCAAUCCUCUCACCUCAGCCUCCCAAAGUGCUGGGAUUACAGAUUUUAUAAAUAUUGUUGAUCUUUUUGAAAAACCAACUGUUGGCUUCAUUUUCUUUAUUGUGUAAUACUACCUUAGAGGAUAGCAGUUCCUAAUACCUACUUUUAUUAUGAGUCUCUGCCAUUUAUAAAGAACUGUGGACAGCACAGGGAAUGGGGGAAGAAAACUCUGGUGCAGCUUGAAUCUUGGUAGCAAAACAGUGACUUCAUCAGAAAAUUUUGUCACUCUCUAUUAGAUAAUGGAGUUUGACCAUUUGGAAUUUGGAAUUUUUCAAAUGAAUAUGACAAAAAUUUAAAAAACUCUUGUAUUACUAUGUGAUAACACAGAUCUUUACAACUUUAUGUUUGUUUUAUCAAUUACAUAUUAAAGAUAGAA